rnacentral:sRNA from 1 species
AAUUAUUAAUUAAAUUAUUACUUAAAUGGGUUAACCCAUUUAACAACUCAACCCAUCAAAUUAAAUGAGUUAUGGGUUGAUCCAACCUAUUUAACAAAAUGAGUUGGGUCAACCCAUAACUCAUUUAACCGUAAACUCAUUUGAUUAUGAGUUGAGUUGAGUUGGGUUACCAAUUUUGACACCGCUAGUUAUACGAUAGAAGAUAACUAAAGACACUUUAAUA